AAAAAAAUGUUGGUGUCCAUCAGCAUUUUCGUUGCCUAGAAGGUACCAAGAAACUCGGCUAGAAGAUGUGUUAAAAAGUAUGUAACAAAGAUAUUUUGAAGUUGAGUUUUCUAGCUUUGAUGGUGAGUGAAUUGGGACCACGAGGCCUUGAACGAUGACAAAGCGAUCCUAUAUACCAAUUGAGCAGGCAUAUCCCAAUAUCCCAUUUCAUUCCUCUCGCAUAUCCAAAAGAUUGGUGCGAAUCAUGUGGUAUAAAAAGGCACUUCAGAUAGAAUUACCAUGGCAACUCAAACAUGAAGCAUAGCAAAGGAAGUAGAUGUGGAGGUUAGGGAAUAACAGUGCAAAUCUCUUUUGGCAAAAGAGAACAUGCAGAUUUAUGCAUAUUGCAAACUUCUGUUUUGCCAAAGGAGAUUUGCCCUGCCAUUCACCUGCACAUAAUUAUUAUUUCAUCGCUGCAGCUUUGAUAUCGUUGCUAUACCAACAAAAAAGCUUGUGAACGCUGAAUUGUAAAAAGUAACAGCUGAGACCAUUAACGUGUGGUGUGUGGACUAAAAGUUUGAUAUGAAUCGGUGAAUUCCAACAUGGGCAGUUUAAAUGGAUCUCUGUAUUAAGGUGUAAUAUAUAUUGAUUACAAGAAUGUGAUUUAUAUUGAAAGCUGAUUCAAUUGAGUAUUGUUUUCGACCAGCAUAAACUUCUUCUAUUCCCCUUUUUCUUUUUCAAGGAAGCAGAAGACUUGUACAAUUACAUAAAUCUCUGCAUAAAAUUUAUAUUCUUCAUCGUAAUGAUUUACUGUUAUAUCUGAAGUGACCUCUUGUUGAUCUUUUUCUUC